rnacentral:rRNA from 1 species
GACGAACGCUGGCGGCGUGCUUAACACGUGCAAGUCGAGCGGUAAGGCCCUUUCGGGGGUACACGAGCGGCGAACGGGUGAGUAACACGUGGGUGACCUGCCCUCAGCUCUGGGAUAAGCCUGGGAAACCGGGUCUAAUACCGGAUAUGACUCCAUGACGCAUGUUGUGGGGUGGAAAGCCUUGUGCGGCUGGGGAUGGGCCCGCGGCCUAUCAGCUUGUUGGUAGGGUAACGGCCUACCAAGGCUC